UUCAUAGCCAUAUCCAGCCCACCAAUCACCUAAAGAUGCACAUGGCGAUAAAAAUGAGAUUCCAAUCCGCUGACAUAUAAAAUAUCUCAAAACACAUGAAAUAUACGGGAACAACUCGGGAUAAGGGAGCCGCAUUUACAGGCCCCCAAAGGACACGUCAGGGAUCUCCAAAAUUGAUUCAGCCUAUUCUGACAGACUGUUCUAACGGAUAAACGAUAUCACUUAAUGAUUCUAUUCUGACCAACAGUAACCUCGUACAAGUACUAUAUCCUGUUGGCUGUUGCUUUGGUUUUCCGAUCCCAAGGAGCAAAUGUAAGAGGAUAUUUCGUUUUACCAAGAACUUUUACGCCCCAUGAGAAGAAUU